rnacentral:rRNA from 1 species
UUAAGUUAUUAAGGGCGCACGGUGGAUGCCUUGGCACUAGAAGCCGAUGAAGGACGUUACUAACGACGAUAUGCUUUGGGGAGCUGUAAGUAAGCUUUGAUCCAGAGAUUUCCGAAUGGGGAAACCCAGCAUGAGUUAUGUCAUGUUAUCGAUAUGUGAAUACAUAGCAUAUCAGAAGGCACACCCGGAGAACUGAAACAUCUUAGUACCCGGAGGAAGAGAAAGAAAAUUCGAUUCCCUUAGUAGCGGCGAGCGAAACGGGAAGAGCCCAAACCAACAAGCUUGCUUGUUGGGGUUGUAGGACACUCUAUACGGAGUUACAAAGGACGACAUUAGACGAAUCAUCUGGAAAGAUGAAUCAAAGAAGGUAAUAAUCCUGUAGUCGAAAAUGUUGUCUCUCUUGAGUGGAUCCUGAGUACGACGGAGCACGUGAAAUUCCGUCGGAAUCUGGGAGGACCAUCUCCUAAGGCUAAAUACUCUCUAGUGACCGAUAGUGAACCAGUACCGUGAGGGAAAGGUGAAAAGCACCCCGGAAGGGGAGUGAAACAGAACCUGAAACCGUGUGCUUACAAGUAGUCAGAGCCCGUUAAUGGGUGAUGGCGUGCCUUUUGUAGAAUGAACCGGCGAGUUACGAUUUGAUGCAAGGUUAAGCAGUAAAUGUGGAGCCGUAGCGAAAGCGAGUCUGAAUAGGGCGUUUAGUAUUUGGUCGUAGACCCGAAACCAGGUGAUCUACCCUUGGUCAGGUUGAAGUUCAGGUAACACUGAAUGGAGGACCGAACCGACUUACGUUGAAAAGUGAGCGGAUGAACUGAGGGUAGCGGAGAAAUUCCAAUCGAACCUGGAGAUAGCUGGUUCUCUCCGAAAUAGCUUUAGGGCUAGCCUCAAGUGAUGAUUAUUGGAGGUAGAGCACUGUUUGGACGAGGGGCCCCUCUCGGGUUACCGAAUUCAGACAAACUCCGAAUGCCAAUUAAUUUAACUUGGGAGUCAGAACAUGGGUGAUAAGGUCCGUGUUCGAAAGGGAAACAGCCCAGACCACCAGCUAAGGUCCCAAAAUAUAUGUUAAGUGGAAAAGGAUGUGGCGUUGCCCAGACAACUAGGAUGUUGGCUUAGAAGCAGCCAUCAUUUAAAGAGUGCGUAAUAGCUCACUAGUCGAGUGACACUGCGCCGAAAAUGUACCGGGGCUAAACAUAUUACCGAAGCUGUGGAUUGUCCUUUGGACAAUGGUAGGAGAGCGUUCUAAGGGCGUUGAAGCAUGAUCGUAAGGACAUGUGGAGCGCUUAGAAGUGAGAAUGCCGGUGUGAGUAGCGAAAGACGGGUGAGAAUCCCGUCCACCGAUUGACUAAGGUUUCCAGAGGAAGGCUCGUCCGCUCUGGGUUAGUCGGGUCCUAAGCUGAGGCCGACAGGCGUAGGCGAUGGAUAACAGGUUGAUAUUCCUGUACCACCUAUAAUCGUUUUAAUCGAUGGGGGGACGCAGUAGGAUAGGCGAAGCGUGCGAUUGGAUUGCACGUCUAAGCAGUAAGGCUGAGUAUUAGGCAAAUCCGGUACUCGUUAAGGCUGAGCUGUGAUGGGGAGAAGACAUUGUGUCUUCGAGUCGUUGAUUUCACACUGCCGAGAAAAGCCUCUAGAUAGAAAAUAGGUGCCCGUACCGCAAACCGACACAGGUAGUCAAGAUGAGAAUUCUAAGGUGAGCGAGCGAACUCUCGUUAAGGAACUCGGCAAAAUGACCCCGUAACUUCGGGAGAAGGGGUGCUCUUUAGGGUUAACGCCCAGAAGAGCCGCAGUGAAUAGGCCCAAGCGACUGUUUAUCAAAAACACAGGUCUCUGCUAAACCGUAAGGUGAUGUAUAGGGGCUGACGCCUGCCCGGUGCUGGAAGGUUAAGAGGAGUGGUUAGCUUCUGCGAAGCUACGAAUCGAAGCCCCAGUAAACGGCGGCCGUAACUAUAACGGUCCUAAGGUAGCGAAAUUCCUUGUCGGGUAAGUUCCGACCCGCACGAAAGGCGUAACGAUUUGGGCACUGUCUCAACGAGAGACUCGGUGAAAUCAUAGUACCUGUGAAGAUGCAGGUUACCCGCGACAGGACGGAAAGACCCCGUGGAGCUUUACUGUAGCCUGAUAUUGAAAUUCGGCACAGCUUGUACAGGAUAGGUAGGAGCCUUUGAAACGUGAGCGCUAGCUUACGUGGAGGCGCUGGUGGGAUACUACCCUAGCUGUGUUGGCUUUCUAACCCGCACCACUUAUCGUGGUGGGAGACAGUGUCAGGCGGGCAGUUUGACUGGGGCGGUCGCCUCCUAAAAGGUAACGGAGGCGCUCAAAGGUUCCCUCAGAAUGGUUGGAAAUCAUUCAUAGAGUGUAAAGGCAUAAGGGAGCUUGACUGCGAGACCUACAAGUCGAGCAGGGUCGAAAGACGGACUUAGUGAUCCGGUGGUUCCGCAUGGAAGGGCCAUCGCUCAACGGAUAAAAGCUACCCCGGGGAUAACAGGCUUAUCUCCCCCAAGAGUUCACAUCGACGGGGAGGUUUGGCACCUCGAUGUCGGCUCAUCGCAUCCUGGGGCUGUAGUCGGUCCCAAGGGUUGGGCUGUUCGCCCAUUAAAGCGGUACGCGAGCUGGGUUCAGAACGUCGUGAGACAGUUCGGUCCCUAUCCGUCGUGGGCGUAGGAAAUUUGAGAGGAGCUGUCCUUAGUACGAGAGGACCGGGAUGGACAUACCUCUGGUGUACCAGUUGUCGUGCCAACGGCAUAGCUGGGUAGCUAUGUGUGGACGGGAUAAGUGCUGAAAGCAUCUAAGCACGAAGCCCCCCUCAAGAUGAGAUUUCCCAACUUCGGUUAUAAGAUCCCUCAAAGAUGAUGAGGUUAAUAGGUUCGAGGUGGAAGCAUGGUGACAUGUGGAGCUGACGAAUACUAAUCGAUCGAAGACUUAAUCAA